AAAUUCCAUUUUGACUGAUCAAAGUUUGUUCCAAUCGAUCGAAAUACAUUUCAAUCGAUCAAAGCCAAAAGUUCAAUCGAUCAAAUUCAUUCGAUCGAUCGAAAUUGCGUCUUUUCAAUUUCUGGAAAACCCUUUGGCCGUUCAGUUCCUAAAACUUAAUUUUAUUUUUCUUUUUCUUUUCUCUCUCCUCCUCCCCUAUUUUUCUUUUCUUUUUAUUUUUCUUUUUCUUUUUCUUUCUUUCUUAUCUCUAUUCCUCCUUCUCAUUCUCUUCGUUUUCUCUCGGCCGAACCCUCUAUCUCUCCCUCUCCCAAUUCGCCACUUUCUGUCUCUCUCAACCUCCCUCAAUCUCUCACUCUCUAUCACAACUACCACCACUCCACCUCCCUGCUCAAGCGCUGGUAAACCUCAAGCGGCCAAGCUUCGCUGCCAUCUCCAUAGAAUCCGCCGGCGGAAUAAUUGGCCCCAAGGCCAAAUCCCCCCAUCUAAUCCCUCUUUUCUCUUUCAGGUAGCAUCAAAGACAUUAUCUCUGGCCGAUUUAGGUCAAGGAGACCUCGAACUAAGCUCCGGCAAGCUCUGCAAUUUUCGACAAGACUCCAGCGAGUCUCUAGUCGUCUUCUCUAACCACGAUGCAACGUAGACGAAAAAAUCUUGCUAGAAAGCGAGUACUAAGAGCUCCAUAGCCUCCAUCUCGAGUGGCAGAGUCUUCUUCAUCGUCUUCAUCUUCUGCAUCAGUCCAUUCUGAGCCAUUUUCUAUGGAUACCGAGCAUACUAUUAUUCUAGAGGUUCCUGCUGAGUCUUACUCCCGUAAGAUGCAGGAGCCCGAGUACAGAUUUGACCGUGAUCUUUUCUCUGCAUUGGACCAGACCAAGUGGUCCUAUGAUGAGCUGGUUCAGAGGGGCAUUGAUGCUAUUAUGACACCAGUAGAUACAGUUGUAUAUCCCCGGUUGGUUGUACUAUUCUACCAGCACCUCCGAAUGGACGACACCAUUGACGGCCAGGAGAUUAAUAUUUCUCUCCCGGCCAUAGCUGCUGCUUGCCAAUGCCCCCACUCAUCCCCAUUGGUUGUUGAUUCUCAGGAUCCAUUAUAUCCUACUGCUCCACCUUUUCCACCUGAGUAGACCAUGGUCGCUGCAUUAUUUCCACAUGCUGCAUUUAAAGGCCACACUUUUGUAGAUCGGGUUGAGAUUGAUCACCGGUAUUGGUUCUUUGAUUCAGUGUUGCACCUCAAUGUUUUGCCAUCAGGCCAUGGUACUCAAAGGUGGGAGGGAUCUUUUAGGCUCUUUACUAUUUAAGCCAGGGUUACUGGAUUUCUAUACCUACACUCAUUUGGUAGCUUAUCCAAAAGUUCUAGAAGAAUCUGCAUCAUACGUAGUGUAGUGACCCGGUCAUUUUCCUCCCUUUCUUUUUUCUGAAAUUUUACGGAUAAAUUUUUUCCGUUUAAUUUUCUUUUCCGAGUUCAGUUUCUCAUCUCAUAGUGUCAUCUUUAGUGCUCAAAAAUGGUUUCUGAGACUCAUUUGGAUUGACAACUUCCUUUGAGAACCGAGUCAUUUCCACAUUUUCACUUUUCAGACAUUAUUCACUUUUGUCCUUUUCCCUAUUUCGUCUUUCUACCUAUUCUGUUUUCCCCGUUUGUCACUUUGUUGUCAAAACCUCACUUUUCAGGUUCCGACUUAGUAUUUGACUUCACGUGUCUUCAUCCUCAGUGAUUUCCACGAAAUACGUAUCUUUACUUUUGCAAGAAAGUACUUUAGUUGCUCCCAGUGACCAUAGGGGCAUGGAUGCACAAUUCUUCAAAAUCUUUUUCUUUUCUUAUGGUGUUUUUCGUAAAUAUCUUUUGAAGAUAUUUUAUUUCAGGGGUUUUUAAGAAAAUAUUUUUGGAAGAUAUUUUCAUUCUGGGGCAUUAGUGCAGUUUUUACUUUUUGGAAGGGCUAUUGUGCAAUUAACGAAAGUUAUUGCAAAUAUACCUCGUCUGGAGCCUGGAUCCUCGUAUGGGAUUCAUUUUCACAUUUCGUUGAGUCGUGUACUCUUAGAAUUCCGUUCUGGUCAUUUUUCUCCAGUUUCAGAGUUUUUGACCCUAGUUGUUGCCGAACUUAUUCGGGGCAUAUUUCUCUGCUCGGGACUCAGUUUUUGACACUGUUUCUUUUUUUGUUCAUGUUUUCUCAUUUUGAAUCUUUUUCGUUCAUAGAGUUUCACCGUUUGAGUACGUCUGCUCAAAAUCCACUUUUCUGGACCUCGCGGGGCACUUUUUGAGAUUUUCUAUAAAUUUGGGACUUAAAGAAGAAAAAUCAGAUUUUCUUCUUCUUCUACCUCUCUUGGCCGGCAGCAAUGGAUGCCCAUGGGGCUGCCACCUUUUCUUCUUCUCCUCCACUUGAUUUCCUAAGUGAAAAGUCUUUGGCCUUAACGUUUGUUGUUCGCCUAGUCGUGCUCUACCUUUCAGCCUUAUUAGAACCCAUUUCUGACCAAAUUUUGAGUUCAGGUUUGAAGUCAAGUUGUGAUUUUCAUGGGGCUUCUUGGGGAUUCUUGUUCAUCGUGUUGUCCCAGACAAAACCCUUCGAUAUCGUCGGAUUCAGAGCACUUUUAUUUCGGUAAGUUUUUGAGAUUUUCAUCUCAAAUAGAGGUAGGGGGUGUUAUAAUUUAUAUUCUUGUUAUAUAGCAUGAUAUUGAUGCUUAUAAUACUUGUUUACAUACUUAAAUAUAAAAUCUAGUGAUUUUAUUAUUUAAUUUUCUUGAAUGAGAUUUGAUUUUCCUGGUUGUCCAUAGUUUGUUUUAAAUAUGUGGCAUGAUAGGAUAUUACCCCUUGACAUGAUCAUUGACAUAUAUUAAAUUGAGAGCUUUUGGAUAAGUAAUGAAGUUUUUAUUUAAUAUUUAUCUUAAGUGAAAUUUUAAUUCAUGUGGCCUUAACUAGUUUGAAAUCAAUGUGUGUUAGCAUAUUAUAUUAGGCCCUAGCAUGCCCUUCAACAUAGAUGAAUUUGAGAGUAAUCGGAGGUGUUUUAAAAUCUAGAGAAUAUUUAAUUAAUUGAUUAAUUAAUUUAUUCCAUGUGUACUAUUCAUCUCAUUUGAAUUCCGACUUGAUAUUCUUGAUAUGUAUGUUAUAUAAUUUCAUAUAUAUUAAAUCUAGAAUAUUUGAUUUCGUUUUGAAACCUUUCAUUUAUUAUUUUUCUAGUGUUAAAGUUUAAUACUCAUGGCCGUGUCUUGCUUAGAAUUCACUUGUAUCAUAUUUUUAAAUCAAGUCUUGACAUGUUGUAUAACAUAUAAUAAAUUGAGAUCAUUUGGAUGAAUUUCAAAAUCUAAAGAUUUUAAGUAAAUGAAUUAAUUAAAAUCAAUUCAAUGGCUCCUAGGUCUAGAUUAAGUUUCUAACUUGGCAUUCAUGAUUUUCAUGACAAGUUCCUUCACGUGUAACAAUUUGAGAAUAACCGGAUAAGUUUUGAAACUUCUAUUUAAUUAUUUCCUUUGUAUGGGACUUAAUUCACAUGGUCGUAUAUCGUAUGAAAUGAACUUGUAACUUGAUACUAAACUUGUCCUUGACAUGACCAUUGACAUGCCUUAUUCGGGGAAUAAUUGGACUUGCCUUGUAAUCUUGACAAUUUAAUCCCUUAAGUAGAUUAAAUUUCCUUAUAUGCUUCCAUCGCGUUAAUCAUGCUUUGAUAUUGAACUCGUGUUAACUUAUGAAUUGGACUUGUAUUUCUUGUACCUUCAUCUUUUUAUCAAGCAUCGUGACUCCUUGUAGCUAGGUUUCAUUAAUGUAUUUAAUGAACAUGCACAUUUGUCUUGGAAUGGUUUAAUUACACGUGUUGUUUAGUGAGUAAUUGAAUCAUCUAUCUUAUACUUGUGGUAUAUUUACUUCAAUAGAUUUCAUGUGCUAUAUAUAUCUUGGUUCUAGUCUAUAUAGAUGUACACUAUGAUUUCUUGACAUUUCACAUACCAUCAUAUUUGAGAACUUAGGGCAUGACUUAUGUGUUCCAAAAUCUUAGUUGUGCAUGAAACGUGGUUAAUGCAUUUCUUGUAUUUUUAUACUAUCUUGGUUUGCACAACUUGUUGAUUUUGGGACUUGGGAUAUCAAUCAAGAAUUGACAUGGCUAAGACUUGGUUCUAGUACGGGGGAAUGUCCUCCUACACUAUUGUGUGCACUAGGGGAAAGGUACCCAUGGGUUAGUAGACCUAAAAUGAUCUCAAGAAUACGGUUUUAAUCCGGGCGUUAUCCGAGUUUCCACAUUGGUUGAUUUUACUCCUUAAAUUUUAAGUUGCUAUUCCUUGAAGAUUUCAACUUGUCGUGUAUGUGAAAUGCACCAAUCUUGGUUCAUUACAUAGAUUUUAUGCUUCAUUCGUGAUUUUAUUCCUUAAAUUUCAAGUGUUGCAUUCAUUGAAGAUUUAAAACUCUUUUCAUGUUAUAUGGAGUAUUCUAUCCUUGUUUAAAUACAUUGAUAUUAUGCCUUGUUCUUGAUUUCAUGUAUAACUUUUUUCGUGUUUCAUGGAAUGUCCCAUCCUUGUUUAACUGCAUAGAUAUUAUUCCUUGUUCCUGAUAUCAUGUAUUACUCUCAAUCAUGUAAAUUGCAUUUGAUAAUGUGAUCCUAGUAUUCUAGUAUUCGUCUUAUCGUGUUCUUGGAUUAUCCUGACUUGAUUUGUUUCAUAUAUGUAUAUAUAUACCAUGAUUCGUGUCGAUAUCAUCCUAUGGUAGCUUUGGAUGCUCCCUGAGUCUCACUCUUAACAUAGACAUUAGGUGGCAUGACUCUUUUAAACUAUUUCAUGUUAGUCUAAAAAUCUCUAAAGAAAUCGAGUCAAUGCAUGCUCAUUCUCUACGAGUAAACUUGUUUACUCACCCUGGAGUUAAAGGGAGAUUUGUUCAGGUACGAAGACUUGGUUCGUGAUGCUUGUCGUUCAUUGGGAUAGCUUGUAGCUUCGAGUUUCCAUUUCAUGCUAGUGUUAGCAUGAAAUAUCAUUUAGUAGCCUCAUGUAUCAAACUUGUAUUCUUUGAUUUCAUUUAUGUAAUGUGUACAUAGGUACACUCUUUUCAUUGUAUUCCACAUGUAUAAUAUGAGGCCAAGGGCCAAGCAUGUUUAUAUUUGUACUUACACU